UACGGAGGGUGCAAGCGUUAUCCGGAUUUAUUGGAUUUAAAGGGUACGUAGGCGGUGGAGUAAGUCAGUGGUGAAAGCCAACAGCUCAACUGUUGAACUGCCAUUGAUACUGCUUCACUUGAGUGCAGUUGAGGUGGGUGGAAUUCCAUGUGUAACGGUGAAAUGCUUAGAUAUAUGGAGGAACACCGAUAACGAAGGUAACUCACUAAACUGUAACUGACGCUGAGGUACGAAAAGCGUGGGGAGCAAACGGG
rnacentral:rRNA from 1 species